AACGCUGAAAGCAUCUAAGCGUGAAGCCCACCUUGAGAUGAGAUCUCCCAAUUAGUAAGACCCCUUGAAGACCACAAGGUUGAUAGGCUAGGUGUGUAAGCAUAGUGAUAUGUUCAGCUGACUAGUACUAAUAGGUCGAGGACUUAACCU
rnacentral:rRNA from 1 species